ACUUACCCUCAUCCUCAGUAAGUGCAACUGGACGGUAGUCAUUGAAGCAGGAUGGAGACGGCUUCUUCGGGACUGGAAUGAUGGUGGUAGCUUUGAAGCAUGUGGGGACAAC